rnacentral:rRNA from 1 species
UACGUAGGGUGCAAGCGUUGUCCGGAAUUAUUGGGCGUAAAGAGCUCGUAGGCGGUUUGUCGCGUCUGCCGUGAAAGUCCGGGGCUCAACUCCGGAUCUGCGGUGGGUACGGGCAGACUAGAGUGAUGUAGGGGAGACUGGAAUUCCUGGUGUAGCGGUGAAAUGCGCAGAUAUCAGGAGGAACACCGGUGGCGAAGGCGGGUCUCUGGGCCGACACUGACGCUGAGGAGCGAAAGCGUGGGGAGCGAACAGG